GGGGCUGAUUCUGGAUUCGACGGGAUUCGCGAAACCCAAGGUGCAUGCCGAGGUGCGGAGGCCUCGUAAAAAACCGCAAAAAAAUAGUCGCAAACGACGAAAACUACGCACUAGCAGCUUAAUACCCUGCUUAGAGCCCUCUCUCCCUAGCCUCCGCUCUUAGGACGGGGAUCAAGAGAGGUCAAACCUAAAAGAGCUCGUGUGGAAACCUUGCCUGGGGUGGAAGCAUUAAAACUAAUCAGGAUAGUUUGUCAGUGGCGUGUCCAUCCGCAGCUGGCCGGCGAAUGUAAUGAUUGGACUAAGCAUGUAGUGCCGACGGUGUAGUAAUUUCGGACGGGGGUUCAAAUCCCCCCAGCUCCACCA
rnacentral:tmRNA from 1 species